AGUGAACGCUGGCGGUAGGCCUAACACAUGCAAGUUGAACGGCAGCACAGUAAGAGCUUGCUCUUACGGGUGGCGAGUGGCGGACGGGUGAGGAAUACAUCGGAAUCUACUUUUUCGUGGGGGAUAACGUAGGGAAACUUACGCUAAUACCGCAUACGACCUACGGGUGAAAGCAGGGGAUCUUCGGACCUUGCGCGAUUGAAUGAGCCGAUGUCGGAUUAGCUAGUUGGCGGGGUAAAGGCCCACCAAGGCGACGAUCCGUAGCUGGUCUGAGAGGAUGAUCAGCCACACUGGAACUGAGACACGGUCCAGACUCCUACGGGAGGCAGCAGUGGGGAAUAUUGGAGAAUGGGCGCAAGCCUGAUCCAGCCAUACCGCGUGGGUGAAGAAGGCCUUCGGGUUGUAAAGCCCUUUUGUUGGGAAAGAAAAGCAGCAGGUUAAUACCCCGCUGUUCUGACGGUACCCAAAGAAUAAGCACCGGCUAACUUCGUG
rnacentral:rRNA from 1 species